ACACAUUUGAAGUCAUUUAGAAAGUAAAUUUAAUUAAAGACCUUUCUUACUAUAUUCAAGUUUAAAAGCUUCAUUUCCAACCCUUAGAUACUGUUGAGCAGCAAAAAGCAUAAAACCUGAACAGACUGCGAGUCAAAUCACUAAAUCAACAUACCGGUGAGAAAUUGCUGCAAGCAACACCUGUGGUGCAUGUUAAUGCGACCCAUUUGCGUUCAUUCUCUGCCCAUUGCAUUAUAUGGGUUACGAGCGUAGACUUGCCGCACCCAGCCUGACCGCCGAUGUAAACAUUGUGGCCUGCUUUGACCAUUGAGAGGGCCAAAUUCUGUUUUGCAGUCCAAUACGUCUGCUGUUCCAUGGCUGCAUCCAUUUCCAGCGAUAUGUCAAAGUUUUUAAUCUAACGAAGUACUCAGAAGAGUACCAAAUGAAAUCGACCAAUAAAAACUCACCGUUUAGGCUGCGUUCGUCUCAGCAUUCACUGCGGGAUAGCCGACCGGCAAAUGGCGUCUUUUGACGUUCAGAAUUAUUGUGUGUGAAAACGAGUUGAUUUCUUGGUUAAUAUUCGGCGACCGAGCAAGUUAUUGACGUGGACAGUGUUUCUUGGAUGUGUUUUAUAUGGAACUAUAGACAAUUUAUCGGGGAAUCGCUUAUUACGUGCCCAACAAGACUCGUCCAGUGUAAACACAAGUGGACAGGCUUAGCUACAUCGACCGAAUUUUGGACAAUUUCUCGUGUUUGAGGCCAUGUGGACAUUAUAAUACUGCGUCGAAUCGAAUGACACUAGUACCGUUAGAGAGAUAAUUUAUUUUGCUGUAAAACUGUGCAGAGUUUUUGAUGAUAAACAUAUGAAUUGUGUA